rnacentral:rRNA from 1 species
UACGUAGGGUGCGAGCGUUGUCCGGAAUUAUUGGGCGUAAAGAGCUCGUAGGCGGUUUGUUGCGUCGGCCGUGAAAACCUGCAGCUUAACUGUGGGCCUGCGGCCGAUACGGGCAGACUUGAGUUCGGUAGGUGAGACUGGAAUUCCUGGUGUAGCGGUGAAAUGCGCAGAUAUCAGGAGGAACACCGGUGGCGAAGGCGGGUCUCUGGGCCGAUACUGACGCUGAGGAGCGAAAGCGUGGGGAGCGAACAGG